rnacentral:misc_RNA from 1 species
AACGCACAUUGCGCCCUGUGGUAUUCCGCAGGGCAUGCCUGUUCGAGCGUCAUUUCAACCCUCAAGCUCUGCUUGGUGCUGGGCCACGCCCUCGCGGCCGGCCCCAAAGCCAGUGGCGGCGCCGUCCGGCUCUAAGCGUAGUACAUCUCUCGCUCUAGGGCCCGGCGGCUGCCUGCCAGAACCCCAAACUCUUAUGGUUGACCUCGGAUCAGGUAGGGAUACCCGCUGAACUUAA